AUGCAGUCUCUCCAGUGUCUCAUAUAUACUAACACUGCGACAAUACAGAGACAAUUAGUACGGCCUCAGCACAAGGAUGACCUGUCCAUUUGUGAAGUUCGCCCUCCCUCG
rnacentral:snRNA from 1 species